UUUCUUUUGGUUUCCAUUUGCAUGAAAUACCUUUUUCCAUCCCCUUACUUUCAGUCUGUAUGUGUCUCUAGGUCUGAAGUGGGUCUCUUGUAGACAGCAAAUAUAUGGGUCUUGUUUUUGUAUCCAUUCAGCCAAUCUGUGUCUUUUGGUGGGAGCAUUUAGUCCAUUUACAUUUAAGGUAAUUAUCGAUAUGUAUGUUCCUAUUCCCAUUUUCUUAAUUGUUUUGGGUUCAUUAUUGUAGGUCUUUUCCUUUUCUUGUGUUUCUUGCCUAGAGAAGUUCCUUUAGCAGUUGUUGUAAAGCUGGUUUGGUGGUGCUGAAUUCUCUUAGCUUUUGCUUGUCUGUAAAGGUUUUAAUUUCUCCAUCAAAUCUGAAUGAGAUCCUUGUUGGGUAGAGUAAUCUUGGCUGUAGGUGUUUCUCCUUCAUCACUUUAAAUAUGUCCUGCCACUCCCUUCUGGCUUGCAGAGUUUCUGCUGAAAUAUCAGCUGUUAACCUUAUGGGGAUUCCAUUGUGUGUUAUUUGUUGUUUUUCCCUUGCUGCUUUUAAUAUUUGUUCUUUGUAUUUAAUUUUUGAUAGUUUGAUUAAUAUGUGUCUUGGUGUCUUUCUCCUUGGAUUUAUCUUGUAUGGGACUCUCUGUGCUUCCUGGACUUGAUUAACUAUUUCCUUUCCCAUAUUAGGAAAGUUUUCAACUAUAAUCUCUUCAAAUAUUUUCUCAGUCCCUUUAUUUUUCUCUUCUUCUUCUGGGACCCCUAUAAUUCGAAGGUUGUUGCGUUUAAUGUUGUUCCAGAGGUCUGUGAGACUGUCCUCAAUUCUCUUCAUUCUUUUUUCUUUAUUCUGCUCUGCAGUAGUUAUUUCCACUAUUUUUUGUUUGUUUGUUUGUUUGUUUUGCGGUACGCGGGCCUCUCACUGUUGUGGCCUCUCCCGUUGCGGAGCACAGGCUCUGGACGCGCAGGCUCAGCGGCCAUGGCUCAUGGGCCCAGCCGCUCCACUGCAUGUGGGAUCUUCCCAGACCAGGGCACGAACCCGCAUCCCUUGCAUCAGCUGGCAGACUCUCAACCACUGUGCCACCAAGGAAGCCCUAUUUCCACUAUUUUAUCUUCCAGGUCACUUAUCUGUUCUUCUGCCUCAGUUAUUCUGCUAUUGAUCCCUUCUAGAGAAUUUUUAAUUUCAUUUAUUGUGUUCUUCAUCGCUGUUUGUUUGCUCUUUAGUUCUUCUAGGUCCUUGUUAAACGUUUCUUGUAUUUUCUCUCUUCUAUUUCCAAGAUUUUGGAUCAUCUUUAUUAUCAUUAUUCUGAAUUCUUUUUCAGGAAAACUGCCUAUUUCCUCUUCAUUUGUUAGGUCUGGUGGGUUUUUGCCUUACUCCUUCACCUGCUGUGUGUUUCUCUGUCUUCUCAUUUUGCUUAACUUACUGUGUUUGGGGUCUCCUCUUCACAGGCUGCAGGUUCGUAGUUCCUGUUGUUAUUGGUGUCUGUCCCCCACUGGCUAAGGUUGGAUCAGUGGGUUGUGUAGGCUUCCUGGUGGAGGGGACUAGUGCCUGCGUUCUGGUGGAUGAGGCUGGAUCUUGUCUUUCUGGUGAGCAGGUCCACGUCUGGUGGUGUGUUUUGGGGUGUCUGUGGCCUUAUUAUGAUUUUGGGCAGCCUCUCUGCUAAUGGGUGGGGUUGUGUUCCUGUCUUGCUAGUCGUUUGGCAUAGGGUGUCCAGCACUGUAACUUGCUGGUCGGUGAGUGGAGCUGGGUCUUGGCGUUGAGAUGGAGAUCUCUGGGAGAUUUUUGCCAUUUGAUAUUACAUGGAGCUGGGAGGUCUCUUGUGGACCAGUGUCCUGAACUUGGUUCUCCCACCUCAGUGGCACAGCCCUGAUGCCUGGCUGGAGCACCAAGAGCCUUUCAUCCACACGGCUCAGAAAGGGAGAAAAAAGGGAGAAAAAAAUAGAAAGAGAGAGAGAGAGAGAGAGAGAGAAAGAAAGAGGUAAAAUAAAAUAAAAUAA